GGGAAUAGAUGAGUGCUGGUGUGCUUCCUGGUCUUCAAAACCAGUGUGGGGCGUUCGAAGCGUCCCGGGUGGGUUCGAUUCCCACAUAUUCCCGCCA
rnacentral:tRNA from 1 species